rnacentral:lncRNA from 1 species
UGUCUAUGAUAUCCCAUGACACAGUGAGCUGAAAACGUUUUUGUAAAAUUCAAGACAGUUUGAGUGCAUCCAUACUUUGAAACAGGAGACAUAGACUGUAUUACCUGUAAAGUUGGCUUCUGUUGGAUAAUCGGAUUCAGAUUUAUCUUACAAGAUAUUGGAAAUGGCUUGAAGGAGGGUCCAUGGAGUAUCUUCUCUAAAUUCUCCACAGCACUUUAUACAGCUCCAAAUGCAUAAUGAAACUUAAAUAAAUCUUACUGAAUUAGAGGGAAGAUUAUAAAGAUGAAAAGGACAAGAAGAACUUCUACGUGCUGUCAGGACAUGCUUUUUAAUUUGUGGAAGUCACACACUGCAGAUGUUGCCUUCUGGGUUGCUGGUAGGAUCACCAUGACAAAGGCGCUGCCUCCUCUAUAAAUAGACGGUCAGAUUGAUUUCACAUCCUGCCCUGGUUCUUCCGACUGCUUGAUGGGCGUGACAACACAAUCGAUGAGUGAUCCCAUCCACUCUGCCUGCACAGGCCUCGCCUGCACUGUCUUCUGGAAGAUGACAAUCAGGCUCAUUAAAUCCAGCACAAAGAAGCUUCAAAGACAUUUGUCCUAU